CAAUUUUAAAAUGCUGACAGCAGACCAUGAAUUAGCCCAAGCAAGGGGUACUUCUUGGCUCAGUGCAAGAUUCUGUGUUACUGCACGGGUUGCAAACUAACCAAGCCAGCCCUGCUUUCAAGUAUUUAGGAAACUUUCAGGCUUCCCCAUGAAAUACAGUGUGAUCCCUUAUCAGCAAAUUGCCUGAUGACAAAAACCUAGAUAGGAAAUAAAAUAAAGAACUUAGAAAUGAAGACCCUGCACUGGUGGUGAGCAUUGAACUGAUCUAUAUACAAAAUGAAUUCUAAAUAACUUUGGGAAUUGUGGCUACAGAAUACAAUACCGGAAAUAGGAAGAAGAAUGAAAUUGCUAAUGCGUUUAUCUAUCCCUGCAAGUAAGCAGCUGAUAGUACCUAAAAUCAUAUUGCAUUUUUAAUGAGAUGUAAUGAUUCUACACUGAGUGUUUUAUUGGUAUCUUCCCAGGUAUCUGCAUGUCAGAUGGGUAAUGUGCUGACGUCUUAACAAAGUUUGAGGGAGGUACAUCUCACAGACCAAAUUCGUUAACUUUCAAGCACUUGCAUGACUGUGAGGUUAUUUCCUUGCUGGACUUUUGUGCUAGAGACAUACUGAGGACAGACUACGGAGAAAAUUUCCAAAAUUCUAGAGAUGGGGAAAUCCAAGAUCAAGUUUCUAUCAGAUUUAGUGUCUGCUGA
rnacentral:lncRNA from 13 species